rnacentral:lncRNA from 1 species
AUAUAUUUUUUGUGACCAGUUUAAGUAUGGUUGCAAACAUUGUAAAUCUAUGACGAAAUGAUUGGAGGCAAAAAAGUAACGGUGACAAACUGAAAUUUAUUUUGUGACCAUUUUUCCUUUGGCGCUAAAAGUCGUUUUCUAUGACCAACUGAUAAAGUGGUAGCGGAUAAUUUUCCUCGACGGAUCUAAUGUGACCAACUUGCAACCAUAACUUUUUGGUUGCAAAUUAUUUUUUGGUGACAAAUUUAAUAGUUUCUGCGACAAAUUUAUUGGUCGCAUAUGACCAUAAUUAUAGUAUUAUUACAUAAAGAACGAAUAUUAAGUUCUUUUUAGAGAGAAAAAGUCAUGACCUUUUGCUGGAUUUUAUAAAAAUAUCGAAACGAAGGACAUGAUAUGAAACAAGGUUCUUAGUGAUAUCAAAUGUACAAAACUUAUAGUACAGGGGGCAAUCCAAACUAAAAUAGAGGUCACAAAAAAAAAUAUGUUUUAAGUUGAGAAAUUUUAUAGAGAAAAUAUUAAGAUCUAGUGGGACUUGAAAAAAAAACGUGUAAGGUUAUUUCUGUAAUUAAAGUAGAAAAAGGGUUUUAUAAGAGCUUUUGUGGGAUGGAAGCAGCAUCACUCUGAGACUGAUUUGGAUCUUAAAGCCAAAGGAAAAUUAGGCCUUGCUAAGCCCACGGGCUACGCCUAGCGUCACAUGCCUUGCAAAGUAAGCACAACCGGAUUUGGGAGUGAGAUGCCUCCUAUGGACUUCGUUCACUUUUGCAAUCCAACUCGACAAGACUCAUUCACAAGUUAUGAUAAUUGACUCUCUCAAUUUUAUUUUAAUAGUCUCUAUUUUUUAAAUAAAAAUAAAUAUUUAUUAUUCUCUCUUAAGUUUUCAAUAGAUAAAUUCUCAUCUCUCACUUCUCUCUCAUCUUUUAAAUUGGUUCACACUAUGAAUCAAAUAUUAACUUUUAAUCAAAUCCCAAAUUGAAAUUAAAUAAAAUCUCAGAUUGUCGCAUAAAAUCAAAAUUAAUAUCAUCAUAUAACAAUAAAAACUACAAUUUGUUUAUAAAAUUUAACAAAACUCAACAUUAAAACUCAUCUUGGUGGAGAUGAUAGCUUGAUGGUACAGAAAACAUGUAGUGGUGGUAAUGGUGUUGAUGAAGUGGUGAUGGUGACUGUUGUACAAUUAUACUGGAGAAAGAGAUGGAGAGAGGAAGGGGUGGGGGAUGUAGAGAAAGAAUAAACUAAAAUAAUUAUUUGUUUAUGAAGGAUAAUUACAGAAAGCAAAAAGAUAAUUGAAAAGUAGGGGCUAUAGAGAUCGUUUGAGGGGAUCAAAUAUCAUUACAUCUCAUUCACAUUAACUGAGUUCCUUUUGCUUUUUUUUUUUUUCUUUUUUGGAGACUAGCUUCUAAGCUCUAACACCUAUUUUUCAAUUACACUCCGUUUAAUACUAAAAUACUUUUUUUUUUUUAUUUUACAAAUUCACACUAUUUAUAUUUGAGUCUUUAAUUUUUUUAUGUUUUCCAUCUCUUAAAUUCUUUUGCAAUGUUCUUAUGUAACCCUCGUAUAAAUAAUUCUGUUGGUAAUAAAUAUUUUGUAGUUUUGUUAUCUCUUUUAUCUUCGAACUUUCUCUCUCUCUCUCCAAAACUUAAAAACAUUGGAUUCCCAAAAAUAAAUAUAA